rnacentral:rRNA from 1 species
GAUGAACGCUAGCUACAGGCUUAACACAUGCAAGUCGAGGGGUAACAAGAGAAAAGCUUGCUUUUCUUGUUGACGACGGGCGCACGGGUGAGUAACGCGUAUCCAACCUGCCUAUAACUAGGGAAUAACCUUGCGAAAGUAAGACUAAUACCCUAUGAUUUCCUUUGAUGACAUCAGAUUAGGAAUAAAGAUUUAUCGGUUAUAGAUGGGGAUGCGUCUGAUUAGCUUGUUGGCGGGGUAACGGCCCACCAAGGCAACGGUCAGUAGGGGUUCUGAGAGGAAGGCCCCCGACAUUGGAACUGAGCCACGGUCCAAACGCCGACGGGAGGAAGCAGUGAGUAAUAUUGGUCAAUGGGCGGAAGCCUGAACCAGCCAAGUAGGGUGCAGGAGGACGGCCUUAUGGGUUGUAAACUGCUUUUAUACAGGAAUAAAGUUAGCCACGUGUGGUUAUUUGUAGGUACUGUAUGAAUAAGGACCGGCUAAUUCCGUGCCAGCAGCCGCCGUAA